rnacentral:tRNA from 1 species
UCAUGUAGCCAAGUGGCUGAAGGCGCCGGACUGCAACUCCGGAAUCGCAGGUUCGACUCCUGUCAUGA